AGCUCCUCAUUUGGGUCUUAAGUCUAGGCUUCAUAUAUCUAGUAUGUAUAGCUUAAUAUAUUUUGUACUCUUACAUUGGAUUUUAGAAUUAAAUUGUAUUUUGUUCAGUUUUAAAUAUUUGUUUUCUAUGUAUAUACUUGUGGCCUGACUUUCUAAUAAAAUCUCGUACUUGGGGUUUGUUUAUUUCUUUCUACAUCUUCAUCUAUAUUGAUGUUGG
rnacentral:lncRNA from 1 species